GUCGUCUGCUGCAGAAUGCGAGCGACGCCACGAAUGUGCGGCUUGCACUAGCGGCAUGCGCGGAGUGUGACGUCAUGCACGACGGCAGGAAGUGACGUCAAGGCCCCACCCAUGCGCCGCUUGCGCUGCGCACAGGGCCGUCCGCGUUGUGGAGAUUCUUUGUGCCAUACUUCGCAUUCCAAUUCGGGAGCAGCUGUGCGGCGCCGUGAAUUCUUGACGUCGUUGGUCCGCGUUCGAGUUUGACCGUUUGAACAUCAAAACAAACAAGCGCGGGAUAGACGGUCGCUUCUGCAUCGCGACCGACGUAAUCAGCAAGUAAAGUUGGAAGCUAGAUGUGACUUUGAUUUGUGUUACCGCGAUCUGAAAGGCAAGUGUUGGUUCGUGUGACUGUCCGAGUACGGAGUGACUGUGCUGCUCUUUGCUGGCGGGAUCUCCCUUACUGUGUUCGGAGUUCUUUUUUGCUUGGUUCGCCGUUAUAUUCCCAACUGUGGAUCACAAGUGAAGCCAGGUGACGGCUUCUCGGACCGGCUGUUGGAACAGUUUGUGCACAGAAGCGUCGAGCGGAGUGUGUGCUGACGGAUUACGACGGGUUUCACGUUGUGACAACUGCUGUAGAGGAACACGACGGCUUCAAGAAGGAACGCUGUAUGUGGCGGCUGCGCGGCUCUGCCAUUUGAGGGCGUCCAGCCGUGCUGAGACAACGGAGCCCAUCGCAGAUUCUCCGGUUGCUCUGUAGACAUACAGGGUGGCGCCUAUCUCGGUGUUCAAGAUAUCCUCGCCCUGGAACUCUGGGCCGGGGCCGACGCCCGCCGGCGGGCCCCCGGCGCAGCAACAGCCCCUCUCGGACCCGGGCUCCGAC